UCAAAACACUAUGUAAAUAAAAACUACAUUUAAUUUAGGAUGACCCAAUCUUCCGAUAUGGCACUAUUAUCAUAGGUUCAGCUCAUACCCGACGCUGACGGUGGCGAUAGAAAUAUUACCCCGGCACACGAUAACGCGGGUGAAGGACUCAGCCAGCCCUGAGGGAUACCGCAUAGAAUAUACUGGAACGAUGGACUUGGUCGUAAGAUUCUUCGCUCAGGCCAUGAACUUUACGUAAGUUGGACACAGCUUCAAUUACAGUGCAAAAAGUUCUGAGUGACUACUGACACACAUAUCUAAUGAAUCAGACAUGUCUUGCACUGGACUCCCAAUACUUAGGCACAGGUACGUUCUGUCCCCCGAGAGAACCUUCGGCAGCAAGCUGCCUGACGGGUCCUGGACCGGCAUGCUGGGCAUGGUGUUCCGGGAGGUGAGGCAAAAUCUGUUUUCUCACGUAUACCAAAGAUAAAAAAGUUAAAUCCAUAUGAAGGGUGUAAGGCAAAAGUCAAGGCGUCUUUAACGAGUGUGAAGCUUUUCAAAUCGACGCUUUCUCUCUCCACUGGUCCAGGAGGCCGAUCUAGCUACUGGACCCUUCGUACUGUCACCGGGGCGGGUAGACGCCUACGACUAUACUCAUGCUCUCUCGAAUGAACACUUAAGGAUAUUAAGUGGACUUGGAGGCCUAACAGUGGACCCUUGGGGCUUCAUGCUACCCCUGACGCCCCUGGUGUGGGCGGCCACCCUGACAGCGCUGCUGGGCGUGCUAGCCGUCCUGCAGCUGCUUUCCUUCUAUUUGUCCGGCAACGCACUCAACCGCGGCGGCUGGGUUGCCGACAACGCCUCCAGAUGUGUCCGUGUCAUCCUCCAGCAAGGUGAGGCCUCCGGGACCGUGCUCAGCCACUCCUGUUUGCAUGAUGUCUGUCUUGCAUAUUGAAGGUAUCCAUGCUCACAAGGAACAGCUUUCGUGCCUUAGUGAAGAGUAACUGCCUCACUCUUUCCCUUCGUAGACAUUGUGUUGCCCACGGAGUGGUGGUUUAUGGAGCGUCUGGUGCUGGGGCUGUGGAUGCUGACGACUCUGGUGCUGACCAAGAGCUAUGCCGGCAACCUCAUGUCGUUAAUGGCCGUGAGAUAUCUCGCACAGCCCUUCCAAACUCUGGAAGAUGUCCUCGACGAUCCAGAUGUUACUAUGAUAUUUCAGAAGUAUUCCAGUACUGAACAGUUCAUAAGAGAAGCUCAGUCCGGCGUGUUCCGCGAGGUGGCGCUGCUGGAGAAGGAAGGUCGUCUGUUGUUUCACACGCGUGCACAGUUUCAGAAAAGCCUCGACACCCUGGUCAGGGCCGGGGACCACGUGCUCGUCGACCCAAUGACUCCACUCAAAGGCUUGGUGGCCAUGGAUUUCAGUGAGAAUGGUCGUUGUGGUUUCUAUCUAUCGAGGGAUGGUUUUCUUCCGUUUUCCGCCGCUCUGAUGAGUCAAAAAAAGAAUCCCAUCAUACGCGGUCUCAAUUCCAGGUGAUAUUGUUCAGUGGUUUUCUUAUGACUAGUGUAAAGAUCUUCAAAUUUUUGCAAUCUUUUGCUUCUUUCGUGUCACGCAGGUUUGUUGCA